UUUCCGAUGCCUUCUUUCAGAUUUUUUCUUUGUGUUAUAGUGCUACAACAUUGCAUGUGUAUGGCAAAAAAAAAAAGUAGCCGUAUUUUCCCGUUGAAGGAGUUUGAGAUUCUGGGGAUCAUUUUUAAUAUGAACUUGCCACAGCAGGAACAGCAGGUGUGGCAGUCAGAGGUUCCCCAUUGCCUGCAUGCCCACCAGCCCUCCUGGCCACCACCGGUUCUACCUGCUGCUUUCGUGGCGAACGAUAAUGACAUCAUUAUAGCUUGCUUCAAAAAUGGCAAGUGUAGACAGUGAACUCCUUUGCAGCCAGGAAGACAGGCAGGUGGAAAACAGGGAACACCCACCCACUGGCUCAACCACCCACCCUCCUACUCAUCCACGCCACCACCAUCACACUCCACUUUCACUGCAGAUGAUAAUGGCAUUAUGAGUAACAUCAUUGUAACCCACCAUUAAAGCGGCAGGAGGAGGCCAAAGUGAGGAUGUAAGGGGAGAUGGUGGGGGCAGGCGAUGGGGAGCACCCACUGGACCGCUAGCAAGGCAUGCGUGCACCCUCAAUGCACACUGCACAUGUGAGCGAAGGGCACAUGCUGGACCAGGCUCCCACAUGACCCAGGCCAUGACUGCCCCUGCCUGCUUGGUGCCCUGUGUGACGACUUAUUUUGCCUAGUGUUGAAACAACGUCUCUUAACAAUGCUGGAAUUACAAUGCUAAUAUAAUCAUCUCUUUGAAAGUCUCUUUGUUCAGUCAGUGGGAAAAUCAUCAAAGAAGAAACUGAGCCCUUCUCAUUUUGUCUUGAGGGAAUUUUUAUUUAUUUAUUUGGUAGUUAAGGACAUUGGCCAUUGAAACACAUUGCUGAAUGUCUGUAUGGAGUAUGCUGGUUUAUUAUUUAUGUAGCUCUAUAAUGAAAAUGGUAGAGAUUGCCAGAUCUGUCUGCUAGUUCUGAGGUUACUGUUAAUUCAGCUGACCAAUUAGAUUUUGUCACAGAACUCCCCAAAACCUAAUUUAAAGCAGCUGUGAUGAGGAUUGCUUUGCUGAACUUGUUCUAGAUACAGGAACGGAUUGUCAGGGUUGGCUCAGGAGUUCAUAGUGGCCAUGAUGACUAUGGGCCUGUCCCAAGUGGUCUCUGGACUGAUGCAUGUUGCAGGUCACACACUCAACUUGGUAUUUUGCUCUGAUCAGGGUGGUGUCCCGUGGGUGGGGACUUCCAUUAGCUCCCCACUGUCAUGGAUGGAUCACCAUCUGGUUGAAGUAGGACUUGCAGUCACAACCCACCUCUGCAGGAGUGAAGGACCCAUUAGGUUGGUCCGCCCAAGCAGGUUAUUGGAUCCAAUAGGAUCCCCUAAAGGCUUGGAAGGGUUUAAAGCUGGCUCUGCUAGUGAUUCUGUCAGUGCUCUGAUGCAAAUAUAAAACAUAUAGAGUGGUAGACAUAUAGAGUGGUAGACACAUUCGCUCCUAAGCAUCCUCUCCAACCUGCUUUAAAGUCAGCCCCGUGGUAUUCAGAUGAACUGCGGGAGUUGUAGCAGCAAGACUCGAAGCAGUUUACAUAAAUUAAAACAACAACGACAAGAGAAGAAGGGGUGGCGGGGGAGGAAGAAAGAAAAGGAAAAAAGAAAAAGACCCGCCCCCCACACACUCACAUGAUAAAAACUAAAAGCCUGGGAAAGCCUGGUUUUCAGGAGCUUCUUAAAGGACAGAAGAGAGGGGGCAUUACAAAUCUCAGGAGGCAGAGUGUUCCAUAACAAGGGGGCAGCAACAGAGAAGGCCCUCCAACAAGCCCGGGCCCCACAUACCUCCCCUGGGCCUAGAAUUCUGAGAAGGCCCACCUGAUAACCUCACCGGGCGUGUCGAAGUUGGACAGGAGAGGCGGUCCUGAAUGUACACAGGUAAAACGUUGACUUGCUAUUAUGGUCAUCAUCCCGUGGAAGGUUCUGACAAUGGCUUCUGUGUAUCAGGCUCUUCACCAGGAUAUAGAAAUAAUGACAUAGUCGGAUUUCGAAGAGAAGAUUUUGAGAAAUGUAACACAAAACUAAGAUAUGCUGGCGACAUAUGGAAGUUUUCCUGCUGCACAACAGAUAAAUGUAAUCCUCUUAUAAAAGCUAAAAUAGAAUAUAAUAUCUAAAACCUAAAAUCUGCUCAUGGCAAGUGAGCCCGGCCUGUCAGUAACCUGAAGGCCUAACUUCCUGGAUGAAGCCUUUGGUAGAUUUAGCCCAGCUGCUUAUGUCUUGAAUAGAUGUCAGGCUGCUGAAAUAAAUGAAGAUGGAUUGAUAAACAAGCAUCCCAAAACACAGUA